ACAAAGCAGGCGACAGCAAUGGGUCAUUUAAAAUUGCAUUUGGUUGACUUCAGCAGGGACCUGAACAGACCACCCUCCUUUUUGUCUAGGAAAGUAAUUCUGUUGCUAAGUUUAGUCUCCCCUCCCCUUAUCGCUUGGAACAGUGUAUUCCUAGUGGCUCUGUGGUUUGCUUUGCCGCACACCCACAGAUCACAUUUAAUGAAAACCACAACACCUCUGACAGCCUUGGCCUCCUUCUCUUGGGCUGAGAAGCCCCUUGUGACUUUUUGGUCCUAUUUUCGGUCAUGUUUCUUUGCUUGCAAAAUUGGGUGUUCCUUUGAAUUUGUAUGUGUUCUUGAAAACAGAACAGCUGGGCAUUGAGAGUGCUGAUGCUCCCACUUGGCAGCUGGAGAACUCAAAUGUGUGCCUCCUGUCUUGCUGCUUCCACACAAAGGUGUAGCCGGCUGGCUCCUAGGGUGCUACUUUGUUGCAAGGGUCUCUUGGCUUGAACUCAAUGUGUCAGGAGAGCUUGGAAAUAAAUGUGUGCUACUUUGUCUAUGGUCCCACCUAGGUUUUGUGUCUCCUGAUGGGGUCUGGUGGGCAAUCAUCCAGGAAGACAACUUGUAUUGUAUCCUCUCCUUAGCAAGUCCCCAGUAACCAAAUUUGAUAGCCAGUCUGGGUUGUUUUUUUUUUUUUUUAAGUUUGAACUACCAUUUAAAAAUAGACUUUCUUUGAGCAGUUUUAGAUUCAUAGAAAACUUGAGAAGGAUUAGGGGAAUUUGCAUCUAACCCUGACCUUGCAUACAUAUGCAUAUGCCCCUCCCGAAUGCAAUCUCUGUUAUAACCUUGAGUCUGAGAGUAAGCCCUGACAGAAACAGAAACUCAGCCAUGACAAUAGGACAUAAGGUUGGCCUUUUGAGACUGUUGUCUAUAGCUGACAUCAUAUACCAGAUGGCCAAUUCAGGUCACCUUUUAACAUCCCGAUCAGUACUACAUACUAAUUCAUUUUCCCCUUCACUAAAUUUGGCUUCUUGACUUUUUCCAAAAUAUCUGAACACAUCUAAGUUUCAGGUAUUGAAACUAUUUAAAAGAAUGUCAUAGGGUAAGUUCCAGGGAAUGGAAGAACUGUUGAUGGGCAUGCAGCUGCUUAGCAUGGCUUUUCUACCCGUGCAGGACUUAAAAAGGGCAGCCUGGCACCAGUUCUGAAAAAUGAAGGCUUUUCUCACAGGCAGGAUGCAUCUCCAAAGGUCCUAGUGGGAAUGGAGACAAUGGAUGGAAAGUGCCCUGGGAAGAAAGUGGGCAGGUGCAGAGACUGUGGAAGGAUGCUGAGAGAAAGUGGCUUUGAGCUAAUGCCGGGCAGUCUGCUCAGGACACAUAUGGGUCAUUUUCUUUGCUCCAGUGUUUUGAGGCUGUCCAAUAGUGUUGUGUCCUCAUUUACAUAGAUCCUGAGUGAGACUCAUUCCACAGCUUGACUCCAAUCAGUGGUGACACCAGUCUGUAGCCUGUGGUUUUACCUCUGGUGGUUGGGAUCUAACGAGAAAGCAAAGAAUGGAGACAGUGACUCCGUGCUAAAGAAACAGGCCUUCUAUUUCCUUCUGCAGGAUCAUAGCUACACAGGUCAGUUCCUUUUGUGUUGCUGUGAACACAGUGUCUGACAAACAUGGGGGCUAUGAUUCGUGUUGGCUCCUGUCUUCAGAUGGUUUUAGUUCAUUGGGUGGGGAAAGCAUUGCAGAGUAACUCAGUUCAUGGCAAGUUCACAUCACGACAGUCAGGGAAACAGUGUGUUGGGAAACAGGAGCCACGUAUAAAUUUCAGAGGUCCACCACCAGUGACUCACUACUUCUAUCACAAUGGCACCCCGAAAUGGGAGCAAAAUUUUCAAGACCUGAGCCUGCAGAGAACACUUGAGAUUCAAAUGCCAUAUGUCAUAUGUCACAUACACGACACAAGGAAGUCUCUGGCUCUGGGAAGAUCACUGACUGUUUUGAUUCCCUUCACUAAACUGGAGAUAGCCCCAAGCUUCUUUAAGGAUCAUUUGGGGGUUUGGUUAUACCGGCUUGAGGCCUGAGUGGAUGUUUGGUGGUUUGUCACGGUUAUCACUCAGUGUUGGCUAUUUCUGUCACUGUGUCUAAGGGUAGAGUGGCUCAGAAAUCUGACCUGUCUAUAGACAUUGUCACUGAGCGAUGUUGCUGACAAAACCUGUGAUUCUAAGGGCUCCAGUGCAGGUCACAGAUGGCGGAGACAUGUCUAAUGAUGGCUAUGAUUAGUUCAGACCCGAGGAAGGCAGAUCUAUCCAGGUAGACUGCCUGCCUGCAUGCCCUCAGCCUGGUCUGUAUUAGCCCUGCCUCGUCUGAAUGUACUGGGAGUGGCUUUAGCUGAUUUCUUUUGGAAGUUGGAACCACCUGUGAGGGAUAUGUCCAGCAGUCCCUGGGUCCAGCCAUGUGCUCUGAACAGCUCUAGCAUCCUGGGAAAUUCUUCAGAGAGAAGCUGCUCAGGGUUCUCACAGUUGUCAUGCUCCCGUUGUGAUGAGCUUGACUACCCUGGGCACUGUCACUUCCAGCCCCUGUGGUCCAGCCCCUGUGGUCCACCCCCUCUAUUCCCGUAGCUUCUUCCAUGGAGAAACAAAAUCAGGUGGCCCUGUAGCUUUGGCCUGCACAUUUCCAUUAGGCCCCUAAGUUGGAAUAUCUUGUUACAGUAUCAGGAUCUGUGUAACCGAAUGUAGGUUGACAAACCCAUCUUUUUAAAAGAUUUAUUUAUUUAUUAAUGUAUAUAAGUACACUGUAGCUGUCUUCAGGCACACCAGAAGAGGGCAUCAGAUACCAUUACAGAUGGUUGUGAGUCACCAUGUGGUUGCUGGGAAUUGAACUCAGGACCUCUAGAAGAGCAGUCAGUGCUCUUAACCACUGAGCCAUCUCUCCAGCCCCAACAAACCCAUUUUAAAGUACUGAGAGGCCACAGCCUCCUCCGUGGACUGCUGUAAGGCAUGGCUACACAGCCGGGGUGGAGGGUGGGUGGGGCUGGAAUAUGUUCUGUUCUAGUUCUCCAAACAGAGUCCUAGAAGUGGGAUUGUAUCUACCCAGGGUAAUCUCCCCAAAACACUAGACCAGUGAAUGAAGAAACGCUAUGGUCUGAACUGAAGGGGAAACAUUUUAAAACAGUGUAUACGUGUGUGAGCAAGAAUGUGGUGCAGUGAACACAUGGUCAGAGGAAUCCCGUUGGGCUGCCACUCCCCGACUGAGAUAGUCACUCCCUUCCUUUCACCAUGUAGGUAUUAGGGACUGGUUGUCAGGCUUGGUAGCAGAUACCUGAGCCAUCUCACUCAGCAGUCUCUCCCUGAAAGGAAGACUUGUAGGCAAUUUAAGAGGGCAGUGUCAGCCUUUGCUCUAACAGUAUGGGAAGGCGGGUACUUCUGCUCUGCCUCCAGCUCCCUCACCUCCCCCUAACUUUCUCGUCCCUCUUUCCUCUCCCCCUUCCCUGCUACCCUCCUUCCCUGAGUCCUCAGCCUCCCAGUAUUGCUUUUCCUGUUGCUUGCUUUGACAGCCUAGAGAGAACUUGAUUUUGGCUCACAAUUUAAGGAGGAAUAUAGGCCUUUAUGGCAGGCAGGCAGGCACGGUGUCGGGGGAGGGCGCUCAGUGAGCAGAGAGCAGACAGGAAGUGGGCUGGUUACAAAAGCCUUACCUGGUGACUCACUUCCUCCAGUAAAACUCCUACCUCUUGAAGGAACAACAAUCGCCAAACAGCGCCACCGGCUGGUAACUGAGUGUUUAAACACAUGAGCCUCCCUUCACAUUUGAACCACACUGAGUCCCUUCCCCCUCCGUGGCUCCCUCUCAUGGUGAGGUUUAUGGUGAUGAGGAUCAGGUCUGUAGACCUGCUGACCAGGUAGGGAUGUCUGGCUUGCUGCUGUAAUCUCCGUACCUGUGCAUUAAAAGAAUGGAGGGCCCUUCCCUUGAGUGACUAGGCCAUGAAGCGUCUGCGAAAAUAACUCCCGUCAAAGGUGAGGUUAGAUAAAUUCAACUGGGGCGAUUUAAGGUCUCCUUUCCUUGUGAAAGUAAAGGGAGUUAAAAAAAAAAUCUAUGGCUUUAAAAACAAAUCUAAAAUUCAUUUGGCACCAUAAACCAGUGAGCAUAUGAAAGAAAAUUCCAAAUGAGAAUUAUGGUAUGUAGAUAGCCUGACCAGAUAAUAAAAAAUUAUAGCACUAGAAUCACUUUUUCAUUGUGUUGGCCCGAAGCACUUAAGAGGGACAGGAUAAAUUAGAGGAGGAACUUGAGGUCUGAGACGUCAUUACGUGAGAAGGCAGGUGUCAGGGUUCUUUAUGGAGCUUAGAGCAACUGGCUUUCAAUUUGACAAGAGAGUCAGCACUCCUCCUCUCUGGGUAGUGCAGAGUUAGGAGUUGAGAAGAAGUCACAUUUAGGAUCUAGGUGCAUAUAAAAUUAAUGACACAGCCACCGUGAUCUUGGAAUUAUUUCUUACUUUGCAUUAAUAUUUUUAGGCUAAUAAGAGAAAAGAUUAAUUUCUACAUUUGAUCUUAGCCAAAGGGCUGAGAAGCGAUAGCUGAAUUUCUAAAUGCUUAAAAAAAUCAGUAUAAAACCUUAGCAGAUGAUCUGUAGUUAUCGUUUUAAGAGUCCCCAUAGAACACUGUACAGUUAAUCAUAUGUCAUAUGAUUCAAAGGGUAACAAAUGCCUCUCCUUUAUUCUCGCCAUCAUUAUAUACAUAAUUGUAAAUUACAAUUACACUGUGUAACUGUAAUUGUGUAAAGUUUCUCUGUCUGGCCAUCUACAAUCUCAGCACUCAGGAGGCGGAGGCAGGAGGAUCGUGAGUUCAAGGACAGCCAGGGCAGUAUAGAGACUUAGUC
rnacentral:lncRNA from 1 species